UACGACUACAUAUCAGGCAUAUCAAUAAGCGGAGGAAAAGAAACUAACUAGGAUUCCUCAGUAACGGCGAGUGAAGCGGGAAGAGCUCAAAUUUGAAAUCUUCAAGGUUUUACCUUGACGAAUUGUAGUUUAAAGAAGUGUUUUCUGUUGGUGUUUUGGUAAAAGUUCUUUGGAAUAGGACAUCAUAGAGGGUGAGAAUCCCGUAUUUGACCGUUACUUUCCAGCUGUGUGAUACACUUUCAAAGAGUCGGAUUGUUUGGGAAUGCAGUCCAAAAUGGGUGGUAAAUUUCAUCUAAAGCUAAAUAUUGGCGAGAGACCGAUAGCGAACAAGUACCGUGAGGGAAAGAUGAAAAGAACUUUGAAAAGAGAGUUAAACAGUACGUGAAAUUGUCAAAAGGGAAGCGUUUAACACCAGUGUUGUUUUCUCGAAAAUCAAUUAAAAAGUAUGGGAUUUUGUAUUGUUAAGACCUUAUCAGCUUACGGUACUUUUUUCUUAUUCUUUUUAAUGCACUUUUCGUUUAACAAGUCAGCAUCAAUUUCUUUUGUUGUAAAAGAGUCAUUGGAAGGUGGCUUUCACUUCGGUGAAAGUGUUUAUAGCCUUUGGCUUCUGCAAUCGGAGAGAUUGAGGUCUGCAGCGUAGAUCCUUCGGGGUUAGAUACGUUUGUGCUAAGUUAUAGCUUUUCAUAGACAACUUGUUGACUAUGUUUAGUCUUGUAGCUUACUCGCUGACGCUAUUUUACCUACGCUUAGGAUGUUGAAUCUGUGCGAGACUAC
rnacentral:rRNA from 1 species